rnacentral:rRNA from 1 species
UGGGGAAUUUUGCACAAUGGGGGCAACCCUGAUGCAGCGACGCCGCGUGAUUUAGAAGGCCUUCGGGUUGUAAAAAUCUUUUGUAUAGGAAGAAAAUGACAGUACUAUACGAAUAAGGUCCGGCUAAUUACGUGCCAGCAGCCGCGGUAAUACGUAAGGACCGAGCGUUGUCCGGAAUCAUUGGGCGUAAAGGGUACGUAGGCGGUUAAAAAAGUUAGAAGUGAAAGGCUAUAGCUCAACUAUAGUAAGCUUUUAAAACUGUUUAACUUGAGAGAUGGAAGGGAAAGUGGAAUUCCUAGUGUAGCGGUGAAAUGCGCAGAUAUUAGGAGGAAUACCGGUGGCGAAGGCGACUUUCUGGCCAUUAUCUGACGCUGAGGUACGAAAGCGGGGGUAGCAAACAGG